ensembl:lncRNA novel transcript, antisense to ABCA12
GCUGGCACCAUCUCGGUACUCACAGAACUUUGAUCUAUUAGGAGGAACAGAUAUCAAACAAGCCAAUGAACCAAAGGCUGGGGCAUAUGAGAAGUUCUGCCAGAAUUCUAGGCAUUCCCACAUUAACGUGAAAUAAAUUGGCAUGCCGA